rnacentral:rRNA from 1 species
GAGCGGCGGACGGGUGAGUAAUGUCUGGGAAACUGCCUGAUGGAGGGGGAUAACUACUGGAAACGGUAGCUAAUACCGCAUAACGUCGCAAGACCAAAGUGGGGGACCUUCGGGCCUCAUGCCAUCAGAUGUGCCCAGAUGGGAUUAGCUAGUAGGUGGGGUAACGGCUCACCUAGGCGACGAUCCCUAGCUGGUCUGAGAGGAUGACCAGCCACACUGGAACUGAGACACGGUCCAGACUCCUACGGGAGGCAGCAGUGGGGAAUAUUGCACAAUGGGCGCAAGCCUGAUGCAGCCAUGCCGCGUGUGUGAAGAAGGCCUUCGGGUUGUAAAGCACUUUCAGCGGGGAGGAAGGCGUUAAGGUUAAUAACCUUGGCGAUUGACGUUACCCGCAGAAGAAGCACCGGCUAACUCCGUGCCAGCAGCCGCGGUAAUACGGAGGGUGCAAGCGUUAAUCGGAAUUACUGGGCGUAAAGCGCACGCAGGCGGUCUGUCAAGUCGGAUGUGAAAUCCCCGGGCUCAACCUGGGAACUGCAUUCGAAACUGGCAGGCUAGAGUCUUGUAGAGGGGGGUAGAAUUCCAGGUGUAGCGGUGAAAUGCGUAGAGAUCUGGAGGAAUACCGGUGGCGAAGGCGGCCCCCUGGACAAAGACUGACGCUCAGGUGCGAAAGCGUGGGGAGCAAACAGGAUUAGAU